rnacentral:rRNA from 1 species
UUUAUGGAGAGUUUGAUCCUGGCUCAGGAUGAACGCUGGCGGCGUGCCUAAUACAUGCAAGUCGAGCGAACGGACGAGAAGCUUGCUUCUCUGAUGUUAGCGGCGGACGGGUGAGUAACACGUGGAUAACCUACCUAUAAGACUGGGAUAACUUCGGGAAACCGGAGCUAAUACCGGAUAAUAUUUUGAACCGCAUGGUUCGAAAGUGAAAGACGGUCUUGCUGUCACUUAUAGAUGGAUCCGCGCUGCAUUAGCUAGUUGGUAAGGUAACGGCUUACCAAGGCAACGAUGCAUAGCCGACCUGAGAGGGUGAUCGGCCACACUGGAACUGAGACACGGUCCAGACUCCUACGGGAGGCAGCAGUAGGGAAUCUUCCGCAAUGGGCGAAAGCCUGACGGAGCAACGCCGCGUGAGUGAUGAAGGUCUUCGGAUCGUAAAACUCUGUUAUUAGGGAAGAACAUAUGUGUAAGUAACUGUGCACAUCUUGACGGUACCUAAUCAGAAAGCCACGGCUAACUACGUGCCAGCAGCCGCGGUAAUACGUAGGUGGCAAGCGUUAUCCGGAAUUAUUGGGCGUAAAGCGCGCGUAGGCGGUUUUUUAAGUCUGAUGUGAAAGCCCACGGCUCAACCGUGGAGGGUCAUUGGAAACUGGAAAACUUGAGUGCAGAAGAGGAAAGUGGAAUUCCAUGUGUAGCGGUGAAAUGCGCAGAGAUAUGGAGGAACACCAGUGGCGAAGGCGACUUUCUGGUCUGUAACUGACGCUGAUGUGCGAAAGCGUGGGGAUCAAACAGGAUUAGAUACCCUGGUAGUCCACGCCGUAAACGA